rnacentral:tRNA from 1 species
AAGUAAAUAGUUUAAUAAAAAACCUUAUUUUGCAAAAAUAAAAACAAUUUUAAAAAUUUUUACUUU